GUUGUGUUGAAAUGUCACCAAUGCUGAUUUAAAUGUACCAGUAUAUGUUUAGGUACAUUUGGUAACCUGUUCCUUUGUUGAUGUGUUUUUGUACCUGUACUGUAGCUUUAAGAGAAGUCCGUGUUUUGUGACGUGUGUGUGGCGCCAAAGCUCAGAAGGCUUUUUACUGUCUGAGCGGAGGUAUGUUGUUGUGUUUCUCGUCAUAUUUUAGCAUAUAGGUCGUUUUGUGUACAAUGAAAAUGUUUAAUGUGUAACUAAGUGUGUUGUGAAUUAAGUGUGUGAACAUGUUACAGCGCUGUUUUGUUAGCUAGCACUUAGUAAAUGCACUUUUUGAGAGUUUUUGUUGUGUACAUGUGCGUCCGGGUAUUACAGUGUUUCCUCUUUAUUUGUUUGCUAGGAGGGAAUGUUGGUCCCGACUACGACCGUUUAUACUAUUGACACGUUGGUUUCUUUGGCUCAUACAGAAGCGAAUAAAUGAGAGAAAGCCAGCCUCCUUUGUGGUCCAGUCUCCCAUCCUUCCAUUCAUCCAACAUUCACACCCCCCCAGAACACAACGCAGACGAUUACGCCGUUAACGGAUGUGCACUUCUAUAUAUUAACACAAGAACUGUUGCACACCCGUUACAUUGGUGCCGUGACCUUUCAAGGAUUGGUUUAAAGGACGACAUCACCUCGUUCGCCGAGGAAGCUGCUGCCACUGGCCCUUUGUGGUACUGAGCUUUAAGAGAAGUCCGUGUUUUGUGACGUGUGUGUGGCGCCAAAGCUCAGAAGGCUUUUUACUGUCUGAGCGGAGGUAUGUUGUUGUGUUUCUCGUCAUAUUUUAGCAUAUAGGUCGUUUUGUGUACAAUGAAAAUGUUUAAUGUGUAACUAAGUGUGUUGUGAAUUAAGUGUGUGAACAUGUUACAGCGCUGUUUUGUUAGCUAGCACUUAGUAAAUGCACUUUUUGAGAGUUUUUGUUGUGUACAUGUGCGUCCGGGUAUUACAGUGUUUCCUCUUUAUUUGUUUGCUAGGAGGGAAUGUUGGUCCCGACUACGACCGUUUAUACUAUUGACACGUUGGUUUCUUUGGCUCAUACAGGUAUGAAUGUUUUAUGUUCUUUAUAUUAUCGAUGCUGGUUAUGUUUGUGUAUAUGCAGUGAAGUGCAUCUAGUAUGUUAUUCUAUUUAUUUUCAUAUUAUUUUAUACGUCGGCAGAAGGCUUUUUACUGUCUGAGCGGAGGAGGGAAUGUUGGUCCCGACUACGACCGUUUAUACUAUUGACACGUUGGUUUCUUUGGCUCAUACAGAAGCGAAUAAAUGAGAGAAAGCCAGCCUC